UACAGAGGGGGCAAGCGUUAUUCGGAAUUAUUGGGCGUAAAGGGCGCGUAGGCGGCUUUGCAAGUGACGGGUGAAAUCCCUCGGCUUAACCGAGGAACUGCCUGUCAGACUGCAUGGCUUGAGACCAGGAGAGGUGAGUGGAAUUCCCAGUGUAGCGGUGAAAUGCGUAGAUAUUGGGAGGAACACCAGUGGCGAAGGCGGCUCACUGGACUGGUACUGACGCUGAUGUGCGAAAGCGUGGGGAGCAAACAGG
rnacentral:rRNA from 1 species